UACGUAGGGUGCGAGCGUUAAUCGGAAUUACUGGGCGUAAAGGGUGCGCAGGCGGUUAUAUAAGACAGAUGUGAAAUCCCCGGGCUCAACCUGGGAACUGCGUUUGUGACUGUAUGACUAGAGUACGGUAGAGAGGGGUGGAAUUCCUGGUGUAGCAGUGAAAUUCGUAGAUAUUAGGAAGAACACCAGUGGCGAAGGCGGCUCACUGGCCCGGUACUGACGCUGAGGCGCGAAAGCGUGGGGAGCAAACAGG
rnacentral:rRNA from 1 species